UUUGCCUUCACAGGCGUUCCAACUUUGGCUUUGGCUUUCGGUUUCGACGCGGUUUUAGUCGCCUUCGGCUUGGACUUUGAGGCGGCAGUGGUAGCUGCAGAUUUAGGCUUCGCGGCGGCAGGCUUCUUAGCUACGGCGGCCGGUUUCUUAGCUGCGGCAGAAGCCGAAGGCAGCUUAAAAGAGGCUUUCACUUUGACAAGCUUUCCAGAAGCAACAAACUUCUUCGUCUGAACAAGUAGGACUUUGCGGAAAUUCGCCGGUAAUUGCUUAUACUUCUCUUCGAUGAAUUUCGCGAUCGCAUAUUGGCUCGAUCCUGUCCUCUCUUUCAACGA
rnacentral:lncRNA from 1 species